ACAUAUGACAUAAUUAUGUUCGCCAACAAAAACAAAUUUUCAACAAAUAUUUUGAGCAAAAUGUAUUUUACUCAUAUUGAACUCCGUCUGUUCGGCGCGCGACGGCGCUCGUUCACGGAAGUGUGUGCUUGCUGAAGGCUCGUCCACGCCUGCAAAAUGGAAAUAUUUUCUCGACUUUCUAACUUUUACAGAUGGAGAAUAUGUCUGUGAAAUGUAAAUUAUGCACUGAGGAAAUUAUUAAAUGUCACUUCAGCUUAAAAAAAAUAUUAAUAGAGGUAUGUUUGUUUCCACCAAUCGCUGCACAAGUUAAGGUUACGUAUGGUGACGAAAGCACGUUAGUGCGAGCCCUCCCGGAACCCAUAGAGAAUGCAUUGCAGUGCCUGCAGUUCGAAAAAAUAUGCUUGAUUUAUUUCGGUCGAUAAUCGAUGUAAAAUGCAAAGAAUCGGAUUAAUCGCGAUUCUAUAGUGAUUCAGUGCUUUAAAAUAUAUAAACAUUAAAUUACUACAUGCGCGAAUUGAUGGAGACGUUGUGCGCCAUCAUUCGCCCUCACAGCUCUCCUUCACAGACACGCGCGGCUGCACUUUACUUACCGCCUCUCACUUGAUUGCGCUCGCGCUCAGUCCGUAGCCCACGUUUGAGCUCUCCUCAGGACGGCCACUGCUGUUCACAUGAGCAUAUGACACUUCUCUAUUAAGACAGCAAUAGUCCUGAGUCAAACUGCUCAAGCCAUUUAUGAGCUGCCAAGUCAUUGCGCGGUCACUACUGUUGAAAUAAAACGCUUUUAUUGCGUGGAAAAGUCGGAGAUGGUUCAUCGACAUUACCUGAGCAGUUUCAAGGCGCGCAUUUUUUGCAUGGACGGAGCAAACACAUAAUUUCCGUUUGUUGACGCCAGUCUGCAUUUCACUCCCAAACUUUCUCUGGCCUGGAUUUUUUGCCUUUCCCUGGCCUGGAUUUGUGCCUUUCCCGUGCAAACAUUCCCAUGAAGUGAUGGAAACUUCAGUAAGUGUUGUUCGAAGUGCUGAAAGGGUGCUUUAAUAGUCUGCAGCAUCAAAGCAGACACUUAAAUCACCGGCGUUUGGCAAUAGUUUUGUAUUCUUCAUCUGUACUUCCAGCGCCUCGACAGUCGUUUAUACAGUGACUUGAGUUUCUAUUCUUGCUGAACUGUUUAUUUACAUUCUUUAAAACUCCCCGGACCAGUCGUGAUCUUAAGAGAGCCGCUGAGGUAUAUGAUAACCGUGUCACAUUACAGCCCCCCCCACCCCUGCAAGAACACGCUAUCUUGUAUUAUUGCCGUCAUAGUUGAUCACAACACUUGAUAUACCGUCAAAAAAUGUACAGUUGGUUUAUGAUGUAGUCGCCAUUACUUGCUUUGUGACGCAUGUAUAUUGCGAUCCGGUUAGUCUUAACAACGUGAAACAUCUUACUCUUGCCAAAAAAAAAGUUUUACGUCUGUAAUAUUGUGCAAGUUGUGUUGCUACAUGUGCUGAAGUUCAGAACUGUUCCAGUCAAAACUUUAAUCUACAGGAAUUAUCUAGCAAUAGCCAAGAAAAAAAAAAUCAAGCAUAUUUUUGGACACUCAAGUCACACUGAAAAAAUAUUAGUAUUAUUACGACAUACCUAAAUUUAGGUAUUAAAUGCUUUUUUUCUUUUUCUUUUGUUUUUUUAUUAAACGUAUGUGUUUAUAGUCAAUAACCAUAGAACGUUAGUCACGCUAAUAAUAAUAAUAAGCAAAUAAUAAAUAAUAAUAAUAUUAAUCUCAACUUGAUUAUAUGUUCAGUGGCUCCAAAAAGCAUGUUAGUCACAACUGUAUUUUUGGACACUUAAGUCACAGACAAUUAUUAAAAAAUUAUUGCAUUUAGAUAUGCAUUGAAAAGCAUUUAGAAUUUGAAGUCAUACUUAAAGCAUGUGCAUUUAUUAUUAUUAUUAUUAUUAAAAAAUAUUUAAUUAACAAUACUUGUUUAGUUAUGCAUACAGUAACCCCAAAAACUAUUUUUGGACACUUAAAUCACACUUAUUUUUUAAAUGUUUUAUUUGGAUUAGUCAACUAAAAUAUCAAUCCAGGUGGCAUAUGCAAACAAUUGUGGACUAAAAAAAUUCUCAGACUUAGUUUCACUUUUCUAAUGCAUUUUUCCAUUUAACUGACUGGUGUUUAUUUUGUGAAUGAAGUCCAUUUCAUCACAUUUACUAUGGACAUCUGACACUUUUAAAAAAUAUAUUUUGCUUGUUUUUUUUUUUAAAUAAAUGGCACUUGCUUUAACAUGUGGCAUAAGUGUCCCAAUACAUCUUGAAGCUACUGUAUGAGGACGAAUCAUGCAAAAUGAGUUGAGGAAAGCCAGCAGUGUUGUAAAUAACUGCUCGGGUUCAUUGUGCAGUCUGUGAACACGUUCUUAAACAGACAGAGUGUUUGGUGUCUGUUCAAUGUCGGACUGCUGUGAGAUCAUGUACAGGAACGGAAGGAACACAAAUGUGCCACAAAGUGACUUUCCCUAACACCCACAUCACCUUAUGAAGUCGAUACAAAGCAUACAUGGUGGCCACAAUCAGGACUACACCGAUGACCAAGAGAACAAUGUACAAAGCCAUCAUGAAGCCACUGUAUGGAGCAGUCG